UAGGGAAUCUUCCGCAAUGGGCGAAAGCCUGACGGAGCAACGCCGCGUGAGUGAUGAAGGUCUUCGGAUCGUAAAACUCUGUUAUUAGGGAAGAACAAAUGUGUAAGUAACUAUGCACGUCUUGACGGUACCUAAUCAGAAAGCCACGGCUAACUACGUGCCAGCAGCCGCGGUAAUACGUAGGUGGCAAGCGUUAUCCGGAAUUAUUGGGCGUAAAGCGCGCGUAGGCGGUUUUUUAAGUCUGAUGUGAAAGCCCACGGCUCAACCGUGGAGGGUCAUUGGAAACUGGAAAACUUGAGUGCAGAAGAGGAAAGUGGAAUUCCAUGUGUAGCGGUGAAAUGCGUAGAGAUAUGGAGGAACACCAGUGGCGAAGGCGACUUUCUGGUCUGUAACUGACGCUGAUGUGCGAAAGCGUGGGGAUCAAACAGGAUUAGAUACCCUGGUAGUCCACGCCGUAAACGAUGAGUGCUAAGUGUUAGGGGGUUUCCGCCCCUUAGUGCUGCAGCUAACGCAUUAAGCACUCCGCCUGGGGAGUACGACCGCAAGGUUG
rnacentral:rRNA from 1 species